rnacentral:rRNA from 1 species
AGAGUUUGAUCCUGGCUCAGAUUGAACGCUGGCGGCAUGCCUUACACAUGCAAGUCGAACGGCAGCACGGGGGCAACCCUGGUGGCGAGUGGCGAACGGGUGAGUAAUACAUCGGAACGUGUCCUGUAGUGGGGGAUAGCCCGGCGAAAGCCGGAUUAAUACCGCAUACGAUCUACGGAAGAAAGCGGGGGAUCCUUCGGGACCUCGCGCUAUAGGGGCGGCCGAUGGCAGAUUAGCUAGUUGGUGGGGUAAAGGCCUACCAAGGCGACGAUCUGUAGCUGGUCUGAGAGGACGACCAGCCACACUGGGACUGAGACACGGCCCAGACUCCUACGGGAGGCAGCAGUGGGGAAUUUUGGACAAUGGGGGAAACCCUGAUCCAGCAAUGCCGCGUGUGUGAAGAAGGCCUUCGGGUUGUAAAGCACUUUUGUCCGGAAAGAAAACUUCUGCCCUAAUACGGUGGGAGGAUGACGUACCGAA